rnacentral:rRNA from 1 species
CCUACGGGAGGCAGCAGUGAGGAAUAUUGGUCAAUGGGCGAGAGCCUGAACCAGCCAAGUAGCGUGAAGGAUGAAUGCCCUCCGGGUUGUAAACUUCUUUUGUAAAGGAAUAAAGUGAGGCACGUAUGCCUUUUUGUAUGUACUUUAUGAAUAAGGAUCGGCUAACUCCGUGCCAGCCGCCGCGGUAAUACGGAGGAUCCGAGCGUUAUCCGGAUUUAUUGGGUUUAAAGGGAGAGUAGCUGGGUUGUUAAGUCAGUUGUGAAAGGUUGCGGCUCAACCGUAAAAUUGCAAUUGAUACUGGCAGUCUUGAGUACAGUUGAGGUAGGCGGAAUUCGUGGUGUAGCGGUGAAAUGCUUAGAUAUCACGAAGAACUCCGAUUGCGAAGGCAGCUUACUAAACUGUCACUGACAUUGAUGCUCGAAAGUGUGGGUAUCAAACAGGAUUAGAUACCCUAGUAGUC